ACUUCCUCAUCUUCGUAAGACUACCCGCUGAACUUAAGCAUAUCAAUAAGCGGAGGAAAAGAAACCAACAGGGAUUGCCUCAGUAACGGCGAGUGAAGCGGCAAAAGCUCAAAUUUGAAAUCCUUCGGGAAUUGUAUUUUGAAGGUGGGUUUGGUUAGGAAAAGUUACUUUAAGUCCAUUGGAAAAUGGCGCCAUGGAGGGUGAUAGCCCCGUAAAAGUAUCCCUUUUCCUUUUAUCCAUUCCCUCCAAAGAGUCGAGUUGUUUGGGAAUGCAGCUCUAAGUGGGUGGUAAAUUCCAUCUAAAGCUAAAUAUUGGCGAGAGACCGAUAGCGAACAAGUACAGUGAUGGAAAGAUGAAAAGCACUUUGAAAAGAGAGUGAAAAAGUACGUGAAAUUGUUGAAAGGGAAGGGCUUGCAAGCAGACACAACCUCGGUUGGGCCAGCAUCGGAGUGGGGGGAGACAAAAAAGAAAAGGAAUGUAACUCUUUCGAGUAUUAUAGCCUUUUUCUCAUAUCUCCACCCCCUUCCGAGGCCUGCGAU
rnacentral:rRNA from 1 species